AACGAACGCUGGCGGCAGGCUUAACACAUGCAAGUCGAACGCCCCGCAAGGGGAGUGGCAGACGGGUGAGUAACGCGUGGGAAUCUACCCAUCUCUGCGGAAUAGCUCCGGGAAACUGGAAUUAAUACCGCAUACGCCCUACGGGGGAAAGAUUUAUCGGGGAUGGAUGAGCCCGCGUUGGAUUAGCUAGUUGGUGGGGUAAAGGCCUACCAAGGCGACGAUCCAUAGCUGGUCUGAGAGGAUGAUCAGCCACAUUGGGACUGAGACACGGCCCAAACUCCUACGGGAGGCAGCAGUGGGGAAUAUUGGACAAUGGGCGCAAGCCUGAUCCAGCCAUGCCGCGUGAGUGAUGAAGGCCUUAGGGUUGUAAAGCUCUUUCACCGGUGAAGAUAAUGACGGUAACCGGAGAAGAAGCCCCGGCUAACUUCGUGCCAGCCGCCGCCGUAA
rnacentral:rRNA from 1 species